GACGAACGCUGGCGGCGUGCUUAACACAUGCAAGUCGAACGGUGAAGCGCCUUCCUUUUUGGUGGGUGUGGAUGAGUGGCGAACGGGUGAGUAACACGUGAGUAACCUGCCCCCUUCUUCUGGAUAACCGCAUGAAAGUGUGGCUAAUACGGGAUAUUCUGGGUCUGUCGCAUGAUGGGUCUGGGAAAGAUAUUGUUUCGGUGGGGGAUGGGCUCGCGGCCUAUCAGCUUGUUGGUGGGGUGAUGGCCUACCAAGGCGGUGACGGGUAGCCGGCCUGAGAGGGUGGACGGUCACACUGGGACUGAGACACGGCCCAGACUCCUACGGGGGGCAGCAGUGGGGAAUAUUGCACAAUGGGCGCAAGCAUGAUGCAGCGACGCCGCGUGAGGGAUGGAGGCCUUCGGGUUGUGAACCUCUUUCGCCAGUGAAGCAGGCCUGCCUCGUUUGUGGGUGGGUUGACGGUAGCUGGAUAAGAAGCGCCGGCUAACUACGUG
rnacentral:rRNA from 1 species